rnacentral:rRNA from 1 species
UACGUAGGGGGCAAGCGUUGUCCGGAUUUAUUGGGCGUAAAGAGCGUGUAGGCGGCUUGGAAGGUCAGCUGUGAAAACUCGAGGCUCAACCUCGAGACGUCGGUUGAAACCACCUGGCUAGAGUCCGGAAGAGGAGAGUGGAAUUCCCGGUGUAGCGGUGAAAUGCGCAGAUAUCGGGAAGAACACCCGUGGCGAAGGCGGCUCUCUGGGACGGUACUGACGCUGAGACGCGAAAGCGUGGGGAGCGAACAGG